rnacentral:rRNA from 1 species
CCUACGGGAGGCAGCAGUGGGGAAUAUUGGACAAUGGGGGCAACCCUGAUCCAGCCAUGCCGCGUGUGUGAAGAAGGCCCUCGGGUUGUAAAGCACUUUCAGUGAGGAAGAACGCCUGGUGGUUAAUACCCAUCAGGAAAGACAUCACUCACAGAAGAAGCACCGGCUAACUCCGUGCCAGCAGCCGCGGUAAUACGGAGGGUGCGAGCGUUAAUCGGAAUUACUGGGCGUAAAGCGCGCGUAGGUGGCUUGAUAAGUCGGUUGUGAAAGCCCCGGGCUCAACCUGGGAACGGCAUCCGGAACUGUCAAGCUAGAGUGCAGGAGAGGAAGGUAGAAUUCCCGGUGUAGCGGUGAAAUGCGUAGAGAUCGGGAGGAAUACCAGUGGCGAAGGCGGCCUUCUGGACUGACACUGACACUGAGGUGCGAAAGCGUGGGUAGCAAACAGGAUUAGAUACCCGAGUAGUC